AGAAAUGGAUUUUAGACACUUAGUACUCUCUGAGCAUUGUGGGCCCGAAUACCUGUAAGCAAUGACAUUUGCCUCUCUUUCUUGUCCCUUAAGAGUAAAUGAGAGAAUUCUUGCCUCAUUAAUCCAUUGUACACCUUUUAAUACUGGCUGACUGAUAAAAUUCUGGUUCUGUAUACUUUGACUUUGAAACAAAGAGGCCCUCUGAAGUGAAAUGAGAGCUGUUUAAGAGGUGAAAGGAGGCAAAAGCCCUUUUAUAGAAGGCAUUAGUAUGGACAUCAUCAUUCCCAGGAAGGGACUGAUUCAGAGACACUAUGACACAACCUUCAGUCAUGGGCUGGUGGCAGAGUGCUUCAUUUGUGUUUUCUGCAUGGGCUUAAAUCAGUGAUUCAGAAGCUAAUCUAAGAAAACUGCUUGAGUUUUCCUAGCUAUUUUCAAGCAUUUUUGGUCUCACCCAGAAGUAGUAAACAGGAAGUCAGGAGAUGGGUGUUCUAGCUCUAGUUCUUCUAGUUACUAAUUUCUAACAUGGGGCAAGUCUGUGAAUUCAUUCAUUUGUUUACUUAUUAAGAAUUUCUUGAGGAAAUAUAGUGUGUGAUAAAUAUUCUGCUGGCUUGAAGAGACAUACAAUCAUGCAUCUUGGUAAUAUCUCACAAUAAAUGUUCAAAACAGAUUCAUUGAAAGAAACUUUUGGACAAUAGUUUUUCCAUCUAUAAAUUAGAGGACUUGACUAAUUUCUGUUUCCUGCCUCUAAAAUUGAGUCUGGACAGCCUGUGUUAAACAGUGCUUUUGCUCUUUUCAAGUUAACGCAGAAUAGUGACCUUUAAUGUGUGUUGGCUACAGAAAGAAAAGUAGUUCUUUCAUGUCCUGUGGUCUCUUCCAUUUUAUGGUGCUUUCUGCAAUGCGAGGGCAGUUUGAUGACCUGGGACUACUUUUCCAAACAGAAUUGAAUUGGACUACGUCAGGUUUUUGUGCCAUCAAUCACAGGCCUUCUGCAAUCCCAAACCUCAUUACCUACUGAAUUAUGAACCAACAUGCUCCAGACAAGAGGCAGGGUAGUGGAUGUGUGGCCCAAACAAUCAUUCUUUCCUAAUAGCACCAUCAUUUUAAUUUAGGCUGAAAAAUAUUAGCAUUUAUUGAUCACUUAUUGCAUGCCAGGCACUGUGAUGGACAAUUUCCCAAGGAUUAACCCAUUGACGGCAUACUUUAUAGGUGGGAAGAAUUAUAGGGGCUCAAAGAGGUGAGGUAUCUUGGUCAAAUUUGCCCCACUAAUCCUACUCUUUUCUCUAAAUCCCAUGUAGAUUUUAAGAGGGAAGGCAGAGGACCCAGUCUGAUUGUAAAUUUGUAGAGGAUAUUAGGGUUGGUUUUGCUGCUGGACAUUUUUAUCAGUGGCUCAGCUGGAUAUGAAAGUCCUUCUAAUAGCUGAUCAGGUUAUUUCCAGAUGAGCCAUCUAGAACUGUAUGUAUACAGAGGUCAGGAAAGCCACCAGCAGGCAGCAAAAUGGCAUUGUGCUUUGGAGAGAGAGAAACAAAAGGAGUGGGGGGAUUCUCUUAGGAUCACGCAUCUGUUUCUGGGAGGGAAGAUGGGAUACCACUGAGAAGUGGGAAGGAACCUCUGCGUCUGAGAUAAAGGAACAUGGGGGCUGAGAGAAUGAAAUGAAAAAAAAGAAAGGAUCUGUGGUUCCUCACAAUUAUAGCGAGGCCAGAGCUAGCAGGGACACUGGCUAGUUACUUCCCACUCAGGCACCUUGGCUGUAAGGACAGGUGCAGAGCAGGGUCCUGUUGAAACCCAGAUGCCGCCUUUCAGCUCGGCAAUUCAAACAAGAGACCAGCAAACCCAGGGAUCCAUUUCCAAAGACUGCCCAGAUACAUUAGCAGUGUGAAUCCCACUGAAAUCCAUGGGUGGAACAAUUAUGUCUUUCUGCAGCACUUUGAAAAUGUGUCCCUUAAGUUGCACACUGCAGAGCAGCACAGUCCUCAUUUCAUGCUUUCCACACAAAUGGACUUGCUCCCUUUGCCCAGUCCUGAGGGGAACCCUUUACCAUUCAGCUACAGAACCUACUGGCAGUGGGAAAAGGCUGUUGAGUUCUGAAAGACGGUUACAUCCUUUAGAAAUCACCAUGUAUGAGUGGGGUGAUUAAAAAAUAUCUCCAGCAAUUCUUUGAAACUCUUUCCUAGUCUAGGUUGGACUCAGUGACUCACUUCUAAGGGAUAGAAUAAAACAGAAGUGAUAGUGUGUGGCUUCCAAAACUGGGUUAUAAAAGGGUUUCUCUUAGCUCUCUCUCACGUUACUUACUCUGGGGGAAGCCAGUGGCAUGUGUGAAGAUGCUGAAGCAGCCGUGUAGAGAGGUCCACAUGGCAAGGAACUCCUGCAUAAGUCAUCUUGGAGGAGGAUACUGCAGCUUGAUCCAAACCCUCAGAUGGUGCAGCCCCAACUGCCAUCCUGGCUGUGACCUCAAGAGACAGCCCAGGCCAGAACCACUCAGACAAGCCACGCAUACAUUCCUGGCCCUCAGAAACUGUGAGAUCAUCAAUAUUUGUUGUUUAAGCCUGAUAUAGUUUGAGUGCUUGUCUCCCCGAAAUCUCAUGUUGAAAUGUAAUCCCCAAUGUUAGAGGUGAGGCUUGGUGGGAAGUGUCUGGGUCAUGGGGUAGAUCCUUCAUGAAUGACUUGGUGCCCUCCCCACGGUAAUUAGGGAGCUCUUGCUCUGUCAGUGCACAUGAGAGCUCUUUGUUUAAAAGAGCCUGACAUUUCUCUUGCUCCCUCUCUCGUUAUGUGGUGUGCCAGCUCCCCCUUUGCCUUCUGCCAUAAGUGGAAGCUUCCUGAGGCCUUCACUAGGGGCAGAUGCAGGCAUUAUGUUUCUCUUACAGACUGCAGAACCCUGAGACAAAUAAACCUCUUUUCUUUAUAAACUACCCAGAUUCAGGUAUUCCUUUAUAGCAAUGCAAGAAUAUACUAAUACAAAGCCAUUACUUUUGAGGUACUUUUUUUUUUUACGUAACAAUAGCUAACAUAAUAAUGUAUUAAUAUUAUCAUUAUUAUCUUCUUGCUUCUUUAAGGCUUCGAAAUGUGUCUUCUUCCCUUUAUUCUAAACUGGUGGAUGCAUCAUAGUUUCAUAACCUCUAGUCCCCACCCCCUUGCCACCCUGAGUCCUCUGCUUGGCAUUCCUUCCCUGGGCUCUAAUCAGUUCUGGUUUCUGUUCCAUUGGGGUGACUAACAUCCUCCACUCACUCUCCUCACACCUUUGACCCGAAUACCAUCCCUUCUCCAUGUGGCAGGUGAUCCAAUUCCUGCUCCUACACGCUUGCCAGUUGGGUGACCCUAAGCAAGUUAUUUAUCCUCUGUGUCUCACUGUCUCCAUAUGUACAUAGAGAAUAAUAAUAAUCAUCCCAUUGAAGUAUUAUAAGGCUUAACUGAGAUAGAAAACUCAUAGAACAAUGAAAAUAUGAUCUCAAGUAAAUAAGAGCUGUUAUUAAUAUAGAGAAGCAGUAUUGGUCUCUAUACUGCAAAGGAUAAUGGCUAAGAAUAUGGUCUAGGGAGCUAGGUGGCCUAGGUUUAAAUCCCAGAAACAUCCAUCACCAGUUAUAGAACAUUGGGAAGAUGAUAGUAAUGCUAAAAAUGAUGACUUCUGAAUGCCACUGUGAGAAUUAAAUGAGUUUAUCUAUGUAAAAGUGCUUAGAAGGGUGCUGACAGUGAGCUCUACAGAAAUGUGAAUAUUAUUUUAGUUGUUGUUGGGGCUAUUAUUAUUAUUUCAGUGAUAAAUGAUAAACCUCCAGGUUAAAACUCCUUCAACAUCCUGACACCAAUCUUCCACAUGUGUACUCUCUCCCAUUCUCCUUCAGUGACAAGUGUACCCACAGUUGAUCUUUCCUCCUUAGCUCUGGGCCCCAUCACCUCAUGGCCCUUCUAGGAGUUAUUCAUCACUUAUCACCUCUCUGUCCCAUGUCCCUUUCUGCUAUCAGCACAUAAACAAACUCCAGUCUCCCCCCAUCUUAAAGGAAAAAUUCCCUCACACUGUGGCUCCCUUUGGCUACCUGGAUCUCUCCCCCUCACAACCAAAACCUCUAAGAGGUCUCUGCCAACUCUGCUUCUCCACUUCUUCCUCCUGAACCCAUUGAAAAGUGCUGCCUUGUCACCAUUCUUCUGAAACAGCUUUGACCAGUAAUGCCAGUGAUAUCCAUCUUGAUGAAAUGGAUGGGCACUUCCAGGUCUCUGCCUUCCUUAGCCUCUUGAUAGAACUUGGCAUUGCACUUCACACUCUUCUUCAGAAGCACACUCUUCUUUUGGCUUGCAUGACUCCCUCUGACUUUGCUUCUACCUCUCAGACAUUGCUUUGGUCUCCUUUGCAGGCUGCUUGUCCUCUGCUCAUCCAUUAAAAGCUGGAGACCAUGAGGAUCCCGGGGUAAGCCAUCCUUUUCCUCAUCUGAAUACUCUCCCAUCCACCAUAAUGACUUUAAUUGCCAUCUGUAUGAGAUGCCUUCCAAAUCUAAGCGUGUAGCCAGAUCGUGCUUCUGAACUUCUAUCUCACAUACUCACUGGCCUGCCAGAUAUUUUCAUAUAGGUAGAUAUCUCAAAGGAAAGUCAAAAUCAACAUGCCCAGAUCCAAACUCAUCACUGUUCUCACUAGAACCGCAUUUCCCACGUAAGUGAAUGUGACUAAGGCAGUUAGCUCCAAAGCUGAGUGUGGUCCAGGCUCAGCAAGCAUUGGCUCUGUCUGGUAUAAUUAUAACAGAUUUGGGCGGGUGUCCUUGUCUCCGACCUUUUCCUCACACAUCUCCCCAGAUACAUCUUAUCUAAUCUAAUCGUAAAAAUCCAAUCAACUCCAUGCCAGGGCCACUCCUGGAAAGUUUUCUGAGCUUAUAAUAUGAAGUCAUAUUUGGCUUGCCUCAGAAAUAAGUAACAAAUGUACUGACUUGGUAACUACAUUAAAUUAGCAAUCAAUUGUGUUAUUGAACUUGAUGUUUCCUGGCUUGAAACAUAAAGAUGGCAUCAAAAGAGCACUUUCCAAUUAAACAUAAGAACCCUUACAGGCUAUAAAACUUGGAGAAAUAAAUCUAUAGUUUAGGGAAAAUAGAAGACAUCAUUGAAUGUGAAGAUAAUUUAAUAACCACACAAGAUGAUGUGUUGUAAAUCUACCCAAACACAAUUUCCAUCCUCAAGUUAAAAUGGAAAGUGCUUUGUCUUUUGAUUAUGUCUGGGUUUUUAAAUUGUUAUGUGUCUUGUUAAUCUAGAUUUCAGAGAAGACAAACAAUCAAGCCUUCAGAAACUCUUCAUUUACCUGACACAAAUCUGGUCAGAUUGUUUUCUAAAGUAGGAAAUCUAAAUUCAAACUGUGUCAUAUGAAAAUUAUAUUUCACUGGAAGUUCCUUCUUGACUUUAUACUGGUGAUACUUUCAGAAUCCUCUAUCCAGGUCAAGAUUCUCUAGGGACAAAGAAAGGGGCUCCGGUCAUGCAUCGAGUCUGUCUCUGAGUUCGGUUUACAGUCACAGAUAUGUGCCAAUAUCUCAACCAACAAUAAAGAUACUCUAUCACUGAAUAUUUUCUUACAUCUUACUUGACAUACAUAUAUUUAAGGAAAUGGGCAUUAGAGACAGUUGGAUCUUGGUUUUGAUCCUGUUUACUCAACUGUAAAGGGGGUAUAAUACAUACCUUGUAAAACUAAUAUAUGCAGUCGCAGAGCACAGUCAAAUAAAAGCUCAAUAAAUUAUAAUUACUAUUAUUGUGGUUAUGCUCAUAGAAGUUGUAUGAAGACAGGCAGAACAAGUGUUUUUAUAGAGAUGAAGAAACCAAAUCUUACAGAGUUUAAGUGGCAUGUCAAUAUGUCAUGUUCAUACAAACUAUGACAUUAAGGGUUAACAAGAAAUAAACAAUUCAGUCCUCAUUUUGGGGAGUUUUUAAUUAAGUUGGUACAAUGGACUGAAUGUUUAUGUCCCUUCUUCACCCAAAUUUAUAUGUUGAAAUUCAAAUUUCCAAGGCGAUAAUGAGGAGAGGGGACCUUUGGAGGUGAUCAGGUCAUGAGGGCGGGGCCCUAUGAAUGGGAUUAGGGCCUUACAAAAGGGACCCCAGAGAGAUCCCUAUCUCUUUCUACCAUGUGAAGACACAGCAGGAAGGGGCUGUCCAGCCUCCUGAAUUGUGGAAAAAUAAAUUUCUAUUGUUUAUAAGCCCCCUGGUCUGUGGCAUUUUGUUAUAGAAACCUGAAAAGACUAAGACAGCUGGGGAGGAAGAAGACAGCUGUGGUAACAUUACAAUCAGGGAUAUGACGUUAAGGGUGAAGUUAGUCAGGAAAGAUGUCCUGGUGGAAGUGAGCCUUGAGCUAAAUUUGAUGAAGUGUAGGAUUAUGGAUAGUAAUAGAGGAGAGGGAUGGUGGAAAUAAUAUGGAGAAACCACAGAGGUGGAGCCAACCUCAAUAACUGAAACAGUGUAUGUUUUCAGGCCUAAGUGGCAGGGGAUAAAAUGAUUACCAUCUCAGUAUUCAUAGCCUUAUUCCUCACCAAAAUCUGUUGUUCGAUCUAUUAAUUGAGAAAAAAAGGGCUUGGUUAAACAGAGUGGACAAUAUUUAAAUUUAAAACAUCAAGAUUAGUGCUGUCCCUCAGAUGGGUAGAUCACACAUCUUUCAAAAGCUUUAGAGAAAGGCCUGUUUCCAUCCCACACUGUUUUACCGCCACACCCAACAGGCCGCUCCCUCACCUUCCACCUUCCACCUUGAGUUGCUAUCUAAGAAAACAGUUUUACAGCCAGAUGCUUGGUUAAAAAAUGUCCCCACUGUAGUCACAAUCAUGUGAUGCAGCUUGGGGGUAGGAUUAGAGAUGAAGUUGUGAAGUAGGUAAGAUUUAUCAUUAUCUGUUCCAUAAUACUUAUUUUCCCUGUAGCUUGAAUCUCAUCAUGCCCAAUCCAUCUUCAUCAAUAUUUACUGAGCACCUACUAAGUGUGAGGCUCUAAGUUGGGUUCUGAGAAUCCAAAGACAAAUGCUCUACACUUAAGUAACAUGAAGCCCAGCUAUGAGAUGAGACCUGAAGGGAGGAUCAAGACUAUGUUCAGUUGGGAAGGCAGACAAUGUCAGUAAGUCCCAUUGGAAUGCAUAAGUUUCUAGUUGCAUACAACCAAGAAGAAGAAUGGGAAGAAACAAAAGAAGAAAAAAAAUGAGGAGUGAAGGGAGAAGUUGAAGUCAGAGAAAAAGUUGGAAUGGGAGGUAGAAGAAUCAGAAGUGAUUCUCCCAAUUCAACAGAUAAGUAAAUGAGAAGUCAUGGAAAGCGACAGCACUCAGGACUUACAUCUCUUCCAAUGAGGUCCUCCUGGUUUUCCACAAUUCCCCAGGGGGCA
rnacentral:lncRNA from 1 species